GUCCCUGGGUGCAAAUGCUUAAUGCAUUUGGCUGUUAACCAAAAAGUUGUUGGUUCAAGUCCACCCAGAAACA
rnacentral:tRNA from 1 species